AUGUUCCUAUGCUCCUUAAUAACAACCAGCGGUGAGAUGCUGAUGCUGCCUUCGUUUGGUUCAUCAGAGAGUCCCCAUUAAAUGUCUUAUAAAGGACUGUGCUUUUCCUAUUGGGAAACGAAUUGUGUGAAAUAGAAUCAUUAAAACGCAAAGAUGCUUGUCAGUUCGUAUACAUGGCGAUCUAACUGGUUUGGGGUGUGUAUCUAAGUAUUCACAGCACGGUUUGCACAUUUUGUUAUGUUACAGCCUUAUUCCACACAAGAAACCCCAUGAUGACAAAGUGAGACAUGUUUUGAGGAACGUUUUGCAAAUCUCUUAGAAAUAAAGACCCAUGUACAUAAGUAUCCACACUGAUCAUCCUGGAGAUGUUUCUACAGCUUCUAUGGAUCUCACGUGACGGGUGUGCAAGCUUGUGUUGUGCGACUCGAGAAGACCUGAGGCUGUGACGGCUGCCAAAGGUGCUUCAGCAAAGUAUUGAGCAAAAGCUCUGAAUACGUUUUGUUAUUUCUUUUUAAUACAUUUGAAAACAUUUAGAUUUUCUUUUCUCACAUGAAAAUGAAUCAUUUGUGGAAUAAGUCUGUAACAUAACAGAAUGUGGAAACUGAAGCGCUGUGAAUACUUUCUGUACCUUCGGCAGUGAUUGGGCUCCAAUGCUGAGCAUUGAAUUCAGGAGAACCAUAUUCAGUCCGAUGUGGUGGAUUCCACUUGGCUUGUUGAGCGCUACAGUCAGUUUAUUGCUCUUAUUCUGCAACCGAAAAAUAUAAGACCUAUAAAAUUUAGUUAAAUAUUAUUAAAUAAAUAAAGCAAUUUAAGAAGAGUCGAAACGAUAUUAAACCCCAAAAUACUUUUCAUUGACUUUUUUUAUUAUUUUGAAUACAUUUGUUGCAUUUUUCAAUGUUCAAAACCAAAACUAGUGGUGCUGAUUCACUCCGGUGCGUCCACUCUCCUGAUGACCUUCUGCCACGUCCACCUCCAACUUUCAUCAGAAGUCACCUUCAACCGCUGAAAACUUCUUCCAGAUCCUCUCCUCUGGAAGGAGCCACGGGUCCAUAUUGAUCCAUAAACCGCAGUCAGAACACGACAUUCUAACUGCAUCUGUUCUUCACCAGCUGGACCACCAAGAUCUUCCUUCCUCUGCGCUCGGAGAGCCAUCAGACCAGAAACCUCUUUCAUGACGUGCACCCCUCCUUGCUGCUCUUUCUGCACCGCCUGAGAUCCAUCUCCAUCUACAAUGAGAUUGAGAAGCGCCAUGAGACCAUGACUCGAAAGGACCUGAGUCACAAUGUCUUAGAGGUGAAGCACACAGAGGGCACGGAGCGCUGGCUGGUGGUCAAAACCACUGUGCAGCCCAAGAAGAUCAAAGAAGAUGUCGACUCCAC
ensembl:lncRNA